rnacentral:rRNA from 1 species
GUGUUCUGCUGUCCGGCCGUCGCGGGAAGACGAAGGGGGCUGUCGUUGUUUGGAAUCCCGUGGCGUAAAGGGCGCGUAGGCGGCGUUAUAAGUCGGGGGUGAAAGCCUGUGGCUCAACCACAGAAUUGCCUUCGAUACUGUAGAGCUUGAGACCGGAAGAGGUAAGUGGAACUGCGAGUGUAGAGGUGAAAUUCGUAGAUAUUCGCAAGAACACCAGUGGCGAAGGCGGCUUACUGGUCCGGUUCUGACGCUGAGGCGCGAAAGCGUGGGGAGCAAACAGGAUUAGAUACCCCAUUAGUC